rnacentral:rRNA from 1 species
GACGAACGCUGGCGGCGUGCUUAACACAUGCAAGUCGAACGGAAAGGCCCUGCUUUUGUGGGGUGCUCGAGUGGCGAACGGGUGAGUAACACGUGAGUAACCUGCCCUUGACUUUGGGAUAACUUCAGGAAACUGGGGCUAAUACCGGAUAGGAGCUCCUGCUGCAUGGUGGGGGUUGGAAAGUUUCGGCGGUUGGGGAUGGACUCGCGGCUUAUCAGCUUGUUGGUGGGGUAGUGGCUUACCAAGGCUUUGACGGGUAGCCGGCCUGAGAGGGUGACCGGCCACAUUGGGAUUGAGAUACGGCCCAGACUCCGACGGGAGGCAGCAGGGGGGAAUAUUGCACAAUGGGCGGAAGCCUGAUGCAGCAACGCCGCGUGCGGGAUGACGGCCUUCGGGUUGUAAACCGCUUUCGCCUGUGACGAAGCGUGAGUGACGGUAAUGGGUAAAGAAGCACCGGCUAACUACGUG